AUAGUAUUCUCUCCGUCCGAAAAUACUUGUCAUCAAAAUGGACAAAAUGGGAUGUAUCUAGAACUAAAAUACAUCUAGAUACAUCUCCUUUGAUCCAUUUUAAUGACAAGUAUUUUCGAAUGGAGGGAAUAAGUC
rfam:Triticum aestivum genome assembly, contig: Triticum_aestivum_CS42_TGACv1_scaffold_211973_3AS